rnacentral:rRNA from 1 species
AACACGUGAGUUACAUGCCCUGCAGUGGGGAAUAGCCCGCCGAAAGGCGGAUUAAUACCCCGUGGUCCCGCAAGGGUAAAGGUGGCGCAAGCUGCCGCUGCAGGAUUGGCUCGCGGCCUAUCAGCUUGUUGGUGAGGUAACGGCUCACCAAGGCAACGACGGGUACCUGGUCUGAGAGGAUGAUCAGGCACACUGGAACUGAGACACGGUCCAGACACCUACGGGUGGCAGCAGUCGAGAAUAAUUCACAAUGGGGGAAACCCUGAUGGUGCAACGCCGCGUGGAGGAUGAAGGUCUUCGGAUUGUAAACUCCUGUCAUUGGGGAGUAAGACCUGGCGGUGAAUAGCCGACAGGGUUGAUAGUACCCAAAGAGGAAGGGACGGCUAACUUCGUGCCAGCAGCCGCGGUAAUACGAAGGUCCCAAGCGUUGUUCGGAAUCACUGGGCGUAAAGGGAGCGUAGGCGGCGUGGUAAGUCAGAUGUGAAAUCCCGGGGCUCAACCCCGGAACUGCAUCCGAUACUGCCAUGCUUGAGGGUUGGAGAGGUAGCUGGAAUUCUCGGUGUAGCAGUGAAAUGCGUGGAUAUCGAGAGG